AGAACGAACGCUGGCGGCGUGGAUAAGACAUGCAAGUCGAACGGAACAUUUCAGGUAGCAAUAUUUGAAAUGUUCAGUGGCGAACGGGUGCGUAACACGUGGAUAACAUUCCGGGAAGCGGGGGAUAGCCCAGGGAAACUUGGAUUAAUACCGCAUGUGGUCGAAAGACUAAAGGUGGGGACCGCAAGGCCUGCCACUUCCCGAUUCGGUCCGCGGCCUAGUCAGCUAGUUGGUGAGGUAAUGGCUCACAAGCUACGACGGUAGCUGGUCUUAGAGGACGACCAGCCACACUGGACUGAGACACGGUCCAGACACCGUACGGGUGCAGCAGUCGAG
rnacentral:rRNA from 1 species